CCUACGGGGGGCUGCAGUGGGGAAUUUUCCGCAAUGGGCGAAAGCCUGACGGAGCAAUACCGCGUGAGGGAGGAAGGCUCUUGGGUUGUAAACCUCUUUUAUUCGGGAAGAAGAUCUGACGGUACCGAAUGAAUCAGCAUCGGCUAACUCCGUGCCAGCAGCCGCGGUAAUACGGAGGAUGCAAGCGUUAUCCGGAAUUAUUGGGCGUAAAGCGUCCGCAGGUGGUUGGACAAGUCUGCUGUCAAAGCGCGGAGCUUAACUCCGUAACGGCGGUG
rnacentral:rRNA from 1 species